rnacentral:rRNA from 1 species
UACGUAGGUCCCGAGCGUUGUCCGGAUUUAUUGGGCGUAAAGCGAGCGCAGGUGGUUUAUUAAGUCUGGUGUAAAAGGCAGUGGCUCAACCAUUGUAUGCAUUGGAAACUGGUAGACUUGAGUGCAGGAGAGGAGAGUGGAAUUCCAUGUGUAGCGGUGAAAUGCGUAGAUAUAUGGAGGAACACCGGUGGCGAAAGCGGCUCUCCGGCCUGUAACUGACACUGAGGCUCGAAAGCGUGGGGAGCAAACAGG